UCAGGACGAACGCUGGCGGCGUGCUUAACACAUGCAAGUCGAACGGAGAUAUUAAUGAAGCUUGCGAUUUAAUAAUCUUAGUGGCGGACGGGUGAGUAACGCGUGGGUAACCUACCCAUAAGAGGGGGAUAACAGUUGGAAACGACUGCUAAUACCGCAUAAGCUAUUAAGGUCGCAUGACCUUAAUAGUAAAGGUGGCGAAAGCUAUCACUUAUGGAUGGGCCCGCGUCUGAUUAGCUAGUUGGUGGGGUAGCGGCCUACCAAGGCAACGAUCAGUAGCCGGCCUGAGAGGGUGGACGGCCACACUGGGACUGAGACACGGCCCAGACUCCUACGGGAGGCAGCAGUGGGGAAUAUUGCGCAAUGGGGGAAACCCUGACGCAGCGACGCCGCGUGAAGCGAAGAAGGCCUUAGGGUCGUAAAGCUCUGUUGUAAGGGACGAAUGUUUAUCUGGCGAACAGUCAGAUAAAGUGACGGUACCUUACCAGCAAGCCCCGGCUAACUACGUGCCAGCCGCUGC
rnacentral:rRNA from 1 species